AUUCGGCUGAGGAGUCCUAAAUAGGGCGAAACACGGGUCCUGGAU
rnacentral:hammerhead_ribozyme from 1 species